GUCGAGGCAUGGGCAGCAUGAAAAGGGACUGCACCCACGUGAGAACACCAGGCAGGCGCAGUGCCCUCAGGAGUCUGAUCCCUGGGUUCGGAUCCCAGCUCUACUAUCUGCCAGUCGUGUGACCUUGAAUAAGUUACUUAACUUCUCUGUUCCUCAGUUCUCUUAUCUGUAAAAUGGGGAUAAGAGUACCUGUCCAAUAGGGAUGUGGUGAGGUCAGGUGAAGUAUUAUAUGUAAAGUCCAAUGUUUGACAUUUAGAUACCACAGCUGCCAUUGGGAUUAAACAGCACUGCCCCCAAACCCCUGUCCUUGUCCUUUCCUGUGACCCCCAUUUCUCCCCCCGCCCCCAGGGGCUCUGUGCUCGAGCGUCACAGAAUCCUCACUGUUUCCUGGGGGUGCCCUGCACAAUGCUUGGCCUUCCCUCAUGGUCUCCUUUGCUCCUUAAGUGAGGGUUAUGAGCAUCAGCUCUACAGUUACCCUGUAUGAGUUCGAAUACCCCCUCCAGCACUUACUAGCCUGGACCUUAGACAAACUGCUCAUUCUCUCUGUGCCUCAGUUUCUUCCCUGUAAAAUGGGCCUAAUAAUAGGACCUCCCCAGCAGACCUGUUGUGAGCCCCAAAUGAGAUGUAUGUAAAGCACCAACCACAGCACUUGGUAGGUAGGAAGUGUUCUCUGAGUAUUACCCAUUAUUUGUAUUGCCCAUCCUCCAAGGCUUAACCCCAAAGAUAUAUCCUCUGAGUUUUCACGGUUUGGAAUUAAUCUCUUCCCCCAUCUGCUCUCCCACAGUGCUUUCUCCAUAUGCCGACAUUGCGACACUUGGCACAUUCUUCUUUGUAUUGUAGUUGAGAUAGAUCUGAUUUGCCCAUUGUAAAUUCUUGAGGGCAAAAAACCUGUUUGGCACACCUCUGUGCCUUCAUGCUACCAAGCACUGGGCCUUGCAAAUGUGGGUUUUACUAACUCUCACUCCCUUCCUUGAGGGGUAAGGGAGAAGGAGGGGAUGCCCACCUGAGGGUUGGCAGUUGUGUAAGAAGUUGAGCAAGACUUGUUUUUUUUUUUUUUUUGUGAGGAAGAUCAGCCCUGAGCUAACAUCUGCCAAUCCUCCUCUUGUUUUGCUGAGGAAGAUCCAUGCCCAUCUUCCUCUACUUUACAUGAGACGCAGCCACAGCAUGGCUCGACAAGCAGUGCGUGGGUGUGCGCCCGGGAUCCGAACCGAGAACCCUGGGCCGCCGCAGGGGAGUGCAUGCAACCAAUCACUUGCACCACCGGGCCAGCCCCAAGCAAGACUUGUUCUUAAAAGCCCCUCCCUCCACUUGGUUUUCUCCUGUUUCUUGGGGCUAGUGUGAUAACUUCAUACUAGGUUUUAAUUUGCCUGUCGCAAGCCAGGGGAGAAGAGUCUGCUUCUGCUUUAAGCCUUGGAGGAUAGGUUAGGGAGUAGUGAAGAGGCUGGAAGAGGGACAAAGAGAGAUGCUCACCAGCAUAGCAAGAUUUGGGACAGAAGCCCUGUUGGUAGUAUUUAGUCCCUGGUCAGGGGAUUUGGACUGUGAGCUUGGUAAACGUCAGCUGAAUUUAGGUUCUUACUGAGGACCUACUAAACUGCCUGAUGCCUUGCUGGAGGCUGUGAUGGAUAUGAAAUGGAAUACUUUUGCUUGGUAAGUUUAUGGUUUCAUUAGGGAGACUAGCUAUAGAUGCGUGAAUCACCUAGAAACAAGGAAAAGAAUGUUCUCAAAUGCCAAGAAUUGAGGAGAUGUAAAUCACUAUAAAGGAAGAGCUGUAAACCAGGUGAGAACAGAGAUGGUGCCUGCUUCAGGUGGUAUCUUCCAGAAUCUUGCACACAGUUGGUGCUCAAAAAAUAUUUUUUCAGUUGAAUUGAGGAGUUUACAUUAAGAAGUGUUUAGAUGGAUCUGAAUAGACCAGGAGCAGGAGGGGCAUUCAGACUUCCUUUAUAGCAUUAGUUGGAGAGGGGGCUGACUCCUCACCUUUUAAAAUGUGAAUUGAUAGUCAUAGUGUCUGUCAGAAAGCUCAAUUCAAAAGUGGGGCUUAAUGCUAGCUUACAGACUGGUGAAAAGGAGGACACACAAAGGCCCUUGGGGUCAAAUAUUAAUCAGGAAACUCAUAAUCAUUCCCACACACCCUUGACCUUAAUCAAAACAAAAGUCCCAUUUUUUGGAAUGCAGAGAGUGGAAUGAGAUUAGAAGGAAUGAUUUCUACUUAAGUUUUUUUUUUAUUAUUUCUAGAAUCCCUCCAUCUAGGAAUAGCCAAGUGAAUAGUGCAAAGUCAUCUGCAUUUAUUGAAGUCCUUAAAUCAGUACUGCUCAAAGGAUGGUCCAAAACUGAUACCAAUCCACAAACCGUUUGUAUCUGGUCCAGAUGAGCGCGUGUACCUGCUUGAUGACAUUUUGAAGGUCUACCACUCAUGUUGAUCUUCACUCUCCAACUUCACGCUGUUGGUUGAGAGGGAAGCAGCACUGUUGUCUUCCUGAACUCUGGAAUCUCUAUCUGAUCUUAACUCAGCGGCAGCUUUCUGAUUGCCAAACUACAAGACAGAAGGCGCUUCCUGGGCCGUCCAGAUCUGCUUCUGAGUUCGCUGUCAACCCUGCCAGCCUUCUACCCACCUUUUUAAAAGGUAAAUACUAGUCAGAGUUUUUGCAUGCUGAACAAAGGUUGUCUAUGAUAUUGCAGUGGGUUAAAUAGUGACCCCCCAAAAUUCACAUCCACCCCAAACCGCAGAAUGUGACCUUAACUGGAAAUAGGGUCUUUGCAGAUGUAACUAAGGUAAGAAUUGAGAUGAGAUUAUACUGGAUUAUGGUGGGCCCUAAAUCCAAUGAGAGUGUUCUUAUGAGAGACAGACAAGGACACGCAGACAUACAGAGAAGGAGGCGAUAUGAAGACAGAGGCAGAGAUUGGAGUGAUGCAGCCAUAAGCCAAGGACACCAGGAGCCACCAGAAGCUGGAAAAGGCAAGGAAGGAUUCUCCCCAAGAGCUUUCAGAGGGAGUGCAGCCCUGCUGGCACCUUGAUUUCAGAUUUCUGGCCUCUGGAACCACAUGUGAGAGAUACAUUUCUGUUGUUUUAAGCCACCAAAUUUUUGGUGUAGUAAUGUGUUCUGGCAUUCCUAGGAAACUAAUACAAAUACGUUUUUUAUUUUCCUUCCAUUUUUGUUUUGUUCUUGUUGUUAUAUAAGAACUAUUUCUUCCCUGAGUAAAGACUGGGCAAUCUAGGUGCUGCCAAGUUCGUGACAACCUCAGAGCCAGGGUAUGGGAUGGAGUGUUCCUGAAGCAGGGAGUUACAAAGUUGGUUCAGGUAACGGGGGCAGAUGGGCAGGUGGCUUGUCUUGGAGGCCACCUGAACCCUUUGCCUGGUCCCUGUAUCUUAGUUUCAAGGCUCCAUCUGUACCAAGCCUUAUUUUGUCCCUCUCCUGUCACGCACAGCAAGGCCCCAGCAAAACGCUGCCUUAGGCUUUUGUAAGAGAAGUUGAUGAAAAGUUAUCGUGACUUUCUUUUUACAAACUGGAAAUAACUUUUAGUUUUCUUUUUAGUUUUAGAUAGAAGUGAUAUACGCUUGUUGUAAAACAACGCCAACAGAAAAUACAGAAAGGGAACAAGAACUUACAAUCACCUAGAAUUCACCACCCAAAGAUAGGUACUUUCUAAAAUGUAAUAUACACAUAUAUAUUUUUAUAAAAAUAAUUUUGCAAUAAUUUAUACAACAAAUAAAUUAUGUAAUAAUUGUUAUAAAAAUAAUUUCUUUUUGUAACAAAUUAUUUUUUGUAACUGCUUUUUAAAAACCACUUAUACUGAUGACAUCUUCCAUAUAAACAAACAUAGCUUCACAUCGUCAUCUUUAUAGGCUGCAAAA